rnacentral:rRNA from 1 species
GAAUAUUGGUCAAUGGGUGAGAGCCUGAACCAGCCAUGCCGCGUGCAGGAAGACGGCCUUCUGGGUUGUAAACUGCUUUUAUAUAGGAAUAAACCCUCGUUCGUGAACGAGGCUGAAGGUACUAUAAGAAUAAGGACCGGCUAACCCCGUGCCAGCAGCCGCGGUAAGACGGAGGGUCCAAGCGUUAUCCGGAUUUAUUGGGUUUAAAGGGUCCGCAGGCGGGAGAAUAAGUCAGUGGUGAAAUCCUGUCGCUUAACGAUAGAACUGCCAUUGAUACUGUUUUUCUUGAGUAUAGAUGAAGUGGGCGGAAUGUGUCAUGUAGCGGUGAAAUGCAUAGAUAUGACACAGAACACCGAUUGCGAAGGCAGCUCACUAAACUAUAACUGACGCUCAUGGACGAAAGCGUGGGGAGCGAACAGG